AGCGAACGCUGGCGGCAGGCUUAACACAUGCAAGUCGAGCGGGCGUAGCAAUACGUCAGCGGCAGACGGGUGAGUAACGCGUGGGAACGUACCUUUUGGUCGGAACAACCCAGGGAAACUUGGGCUAAUACCGGAUAAGCCCUUACGGGGAAAGAUUUAUCGCCGAAAGAUCGGCCCGCGUCUGAUUAGCUAGUUGGUGAGGUAACGGCUCACCAAGGCGACGAUCAGUAGCUGGUCUGAGAGGAUGAUCAGCCACAUUGGGACUGAGACACGGCCCAAACUCCUACGGGAGGCAGCAGUGGGGAAUAUUGGGACAAUGGGCGCAAGCCUGAUCCAGCCAUGCCGCGUGAGUGAUGAAGGCCCUAGGGUUGUAAAGCUCUUUUGUGCGGGAAGAUAAUGACGGUACGCAAGAAUAAGCCCCGGCUAACUUCGUGCCAGCAGCCGCUAGCCGCAGUAAG
rnacentral:rRNA from 1 species